UGGCUGCAGCCCCGUGAUGUGCUUUGACCAAUGAAGAUUGUUGGAGUGAAGACUGUCACUACUAAUACAAGAGUCUGGAACCAGAGACUGGCAUGCUCUCUGUUCAUUGCUACUAACACCUAGCAGAGACUGAGGCUUCCCAGCGCCAGUUCUCCAGUAGGACAAGGCAUCAGAGGCAGUAUCUCCCUAUGCAGUUGUGUGUCUGAGGUUUGCUGAGCCCCAACACGCCAGAAUUUGGGCUUUUGUGACUCUGGGAUUUCGCUCUGCUUACAGAGUUCGACGCAGCCUCACUGAAUUUAACCCUUCAGCCUGGGGUGUGGACACCUCUGGGAUCCUGCAGUCCAGGUCGCUCUGCCAGGAACACUCAGAAGAGGAACAGACUAGAAGAUAGAUGAUAUCAGUUGGGGACAGGAGGCAAAAGUCCUAUAAGAGAUAAGGUAACUGGCAAGAGUGUGCACUGAGGACUGAGUCUUGAAGUAAUGUGGUCAUCUCCAGGAUACAUGGGCCUAUUGACUGGAAGAAGGUACUAAGCAGUCUGAGCCCAUGGAUCCUGGGGUUGGUGGCCAGAGUCUCAACAGAUCUUUCUCUGAACACAGAUUGCUGCCCAUGCAGAGUGGUUUAAGGGUGCCGUUUUGUGGAACUGAUAUCAGGGCCUCACACUCUUACAACUUCUGAGAUAGUGGUAUCCUGGGAUUGUCUUGCCUCUCUUCUAGCCCUUAUAUCUCUGGACCUUAAUAAGACACCAAGCCCAGAAUCCUAAGUACAUGUCUAAGGUUGUAUGAAAUGGUCCCUGUUUUU